UGGACGCGGAGGAGCCAUGCACACACAUUUAAGAACGUGCCCGCGUGCCUACACACACACACACACACACACCUUGUAACCAAUCAACUCAUAAAUGACACCAGCAGCUCACGCGCCCUGACCCCACAGUGUGUGUGUCGUUGCAGCUCAGGUGAAAACACAGGUUUUUAGAGUUUCUGGUGAAAAUGCGGAGCCGAGGUCAAGCUGCUCCUGUUUUAAAACAAAUGGGGAAGGAUGGCGAGCGAGAGCAGAUGCGACCAGGCUCCUCUGGAAGAAACUGUGUCGUGGUGAAGCAUGAAAUAAAUCUCAACAUGUCAGUGGAGCAUCAGCCGGUAGUCCUGGGUCAGGAGCUGGUACGGAGGGGGGAAGUGUUCAGCAAGUGACCCGACGAGAGUGCCAGGCUCCUGUUCCUCCAGGACGGAAAACCGGACAGAAUCGCACACGAUCUGCCUGAGAUGGACCAGAAGCAGCAGAUUCUGUCGGAGAAAGAAACUAACUAAGUUUUCAGGUGGUUGAAACCUCAUGCCUCAUUCAGCUCUUUGAAAAGCAUGCAACUGGACAAACAAGGUAACGUGAUGCCUCUCACUGAUCUCCAAACAAUUACACUCACGUACAAAUAGAACACCCAAAACAAAAGGCAAACAGGAAAUCAUGGACUUGAUGUUAGGAAAAAAACAUUUGUGUACAUUUCUACAGUUUUACCAAUAUUUCAUAUAUUUGAGGAUAGCUUGUUAAAUGUAAGGUGUUGUCUCCAUCGGGUCCUCCAGCACACACCCAGUACAUUGUUUUAAUUACACAAUACAGAAUAACACUACAGUUACACCCCGUCACUCAGAAACACAGAGACCACAAUGGCUCACUGACCUGCAGCAGUCCAGCCCAGUUCAUAUUAUCAGGAGUCCCAUGACCCAUCGCCCUCACACAUGUUACCCAAGUUCCACGGCAGCGACUGAAUGCCGGGGACGGAGGCAGCAACCUAAACCUGUACAGCUGAAGGCAUAAUUCAUCACAAGCCCCUCCCUCAACACUUGGCCUACCUUGUGUGUGAGCCUGACACAGGAGACGUCAGGGAGGGACAACAGGUUUCACCUGCAUUACUUAAACACAUGUUAUUACAACAACACAAAUUCCUGAAGAAUAAAAUCAUGAGUAAGCAUGUAAGCAUGUU